AUUUACAAAGGAAAGAGGUUUAAUUGACUCACAGUUCUGCAUGCCUGUGGAGUCCUCAGGAAACUUAAAAUCAUGGUAGAAGGGGAAGAAGACGAGUCUUAACACGGAGCAGGCAAGAGAGAGAGUGGGAGAGCAAAGAAAAAAAUUACCAUUUAUAAAACCAUCAGAUCUCGUGAGAAUUCACUCACUAUCACGAGAACAGCAUUGGGGAAACCGCCCCCAUAAUCCAAUCACUUCCUUCCCUCAACACGUGGGGGUUACACAUCCCUCCCUUGACACGUGCGGAUUCCAAUUCGAGAUGAGAUUUGGGUGGGGCAUAACAGCCAAGCCAUAUCAAUGACCAUCCCACAAUUUAUUCUGUUGUUAAUAGGCAGGGAUUAUUUACAACCUGGGCUACUAUAAAUAAUGCUGCUAGAAACAUUUUUGUACACACAUACUGAUAACACACUCAUAUUUCUGCUGGCCCACACCUAGGAAUGGAAUUGCUGAGUAUGUUUAGCUUUAAUAGAUACUGCCAAGUUCCAUCCGUGCUGUUAUGAAUUGGCAAAUGUCUUCAGGGGUAUGAUGGACUGAACUGUGUGUCCCCAAAUUCACAUGUUGCAGCCCUAGCCCGCAGCAUGAUCCCAUUUGGAGAUAGGGCCCUUAAGAGAAUAAUUAAGGUUGAAUGAAGACAUAUGAGUGGGACCCUGAUCCAACAGGACUGGCAUCCUAAAAAGUGACACCUGAGCUCACUCACAUGCUCCCUUAUUGUGUGCCAAGGAAAGGCCACGUGAGGCUGCAGUGAGAAGGUGGCCACAAGCAGCCAGGAAGAGAGGCCCACUAGACCUAACCCUGUGCACAUCUUUUGUCUUGGACUUUUGAGCCUCUUGAAAUGUGAGAAAAUACAUCUCUGUCGUUUAAAUCCACCCAGUCAGUGAUUUCACAUUUUAUUAGCUGGAGCUGGCAAAUCCAGAAGAGUUGUGAAGAAGCUGAGCUCACUUCAAUGUACUUCCUUUCUAUAUGGGAUCUUGACCUCUCUGAUCCUGGCAUCUGGGCAAUUUUGUGCCCACAGUCUUGUCUCCCCAGCCCUUUGAUUCUGUCAAAGCUCAUGUCAGGGUCACAGCCUCUUCAAUGGCUUUGGUGUGGCUUUUCAGCCUCAUCCUGUGCCACUUCCAGCCUCGCAAAAGACUGGAGGGAAAAAAGUGCUUUGAGGGUGGUCUGUAAAAGGUUACUCUAUCAUUACUGGAAAAGAAAAUCUAAUUAUUUAUAAACAACUCUUUAAAUAAAGUUUAAAUAAACUCUUUAAAUAAAAAAUAACUAUUAAAGUUAUUUGUAAGUUAAUUGUUUUUAACUUACAAAUAAAUAAAACCGUAGUGGGACUAGCUUACCAAAUCUGGCUGCUUUUUUUUUUUUUUUUUCCCUAGAGAUGGGGUCUUGCUGUGUUGCCCAGGAUGGUCUCAAACUCGUAGGCUGAAAUGACCUUCUCGCCUCAGCCUCCUGAGUAGCUGGAACUACAAGUGCCUGCUACCAUGCCUGGUGUCUGGCUGCUUUUCAUUAAAGUAUUUCUCAGAGUCAAAUAGCUAUUCAAAUGUGGCAGUUGCUAAUUUUUGAGAUAUCAAUCUGAUAGAAUUUUUUCCUUUAAGGAUGUCUCGACUUGAAAACCCAUACUUUCUAGAUCUUGUAAACUUAGAAUUUCCUAGACACUUAGAAAGGUGACUCCCUCAGAAAGAUUAGACUGGCUUGGAAUGGUUUCCUGAGAAGGAUGUUCAUUUAUAAAAGAUACAACCAUUCAAGGGCAUCUGAAUUUUUUUAAAAACUAUCACUUUUGGUGACUGAAAAAUAUAUAAUCACAGAUAAAACCAGAACAAAGCCCUGCUUGUGAAGUGUUUCCAAAUCUUCAGAGCACUGUUGGCUGCUUUGCCCUGGGCACUCCCUCAGCACUGCCGAGGUUAAUCCUCAGCACUGACUGCAGGGCAGUGCUCCAUGACCAGCACAUAUAUCUUGGCCUCCUCCACUGGACUAUGUCCUCGGUCAGGCAGAGGCCCUGUCCUGUUCUUUUAUCCUUAGUCCAGUGCCUUGUACGUGGCAGGUACUGAAUGAUGAACGAUGAAGUCCUCCUGCCAGCACCCAGCACACUGCCUUUAACUCUUCCAGCCUGACCCUCUGAGUGUUCACUGAAAUGGUGUGUCCCACACUGCAGGGCAAAUGGAUUUGGGAAGUGGAUUUGCUACACGAUGUGAGAUAAUCAGGAUCACCCUAGAAAACUCCUUAAAAAGCCCACAAAGUACAGUAUGAUUGUACAUUUAAUCCAGUACGGCAAUCCUUAUGUACCAUCAGUUUUGAGAACUAUAAGCUAGGUUAAAAAAAGGAAUUGGCAUAGCAAAGAUCUGAACAUUCAAACUCCUUUUUGAAAUACCUGUUGAAAUACAUAUUGAGGCCAGGCGCAGUGGCUUACACUUGAGAUCCCCGCACUUUGGGAGGCCGAGGCGGGCGGAUCACUUGAGCUCAGGAGUUCAAGACCAGCCUGGGCAACAUCGAAACUCCAUCUCUACCAAAAAUACAAAAAUUAGCUGGGUGUGGUGGCAUGCGCCUGUAGUCCCAACAACUCAGGAGGCUGAGGUGGGAGGAUAGCCUGAGCCCGGGAGAUUGAGGCUGCGGUGAGCCGUGAUCUUGCCACUGCACUCCAGCCUUGGUGACAGAGUGAGAGACCCUGUCUCAAAAGAAAAAAAAAAGAAAAAAGAAUACCUAUUGAGUCCCUGCCAUGAGGGCUGAGGAAGGCCUGCUCACCUGCAGUGUCUUUCAUUCUGCUUUCACUGAUACCGCUAUGACUGUUAUACCCACGUGUGUUAGAAAUUUUUUAUUGUGAAGAAAAAGAAGAAGUGAGGUUGAGUUCUCAAGUCAAUGACUAGCCUCGGUCCCUGGAACAUCCCUCUUUUGAAACCCAGUACACAUUAGCUUGGGAUCUUUAAGGGCUUUGAAAAAGUCCUGUGGAAUGUUUAACUUGGUUACCCCGUUUCUCAACCUUAGUUUGACAUAGGAGCUUGAUUCUUGUUGGUAUAUAAUACCUAUUAAUAUUCUGUUGAACAUCUUCAGUGUGACAUGCUGGGAAUGAAGGCUUAGGCCAUUACUCAAAGUGUUUCUGACUCUGAUUUUACAAACAAUCCUUAACACAAAUGUUUAUCUGGCUUUGGGGCAGCAGUUGAGAACAAAUUAGAAAUGAGUAAGGAAGUCUGUCAGAUUAAAAAUGAAAUGGACAGCUAGCAUCCUGGCAGGCAUGGAAGGGACAGAGCAUGACAAAGCAGCCACGGGGUUAGAUUCAGAUAUUUAACGAAUAGUAUUGCAUGGUACAAUCAUGCAGGUUUAAAAUAAUAGCAAUUGAGUCCAUAGGAGAAGACGACAUUCUUG
rnacentral:lncRNA from 1 species